GGCUGGUUCAAAGGUAGUGAGCUAUUGCAACUGAUUGUUCACAUUCAGUUACAGAUUGAAGUUCCAUUCUAUACUUCCCCCUUUCUCACUAGUGCACUUGACUAGAGAUAG
ensembl:misc_RNA Gm26456 predicted gene, 26456